AAUAAAUAAAUAAAUUACCGAAAAAAGUUAGAAAAUAGUUUAUUAAGAAAAUAAAGAAAUCUAAGAAGAUAAGCUAAUGAAACUUUUCAAGUCCAAAAAUUGUAAGUGAAGUGAUUUUUUUUGUUGUUUUUUUUUUGUUUUGUUUACAUAAAGAGAAAAGCCGGAAAAACCGGAAAUAAGUUGAAAUACUUUAAUAAACUCUAAGAGUAUUCUAUUAAAUGCUGAAGCAUUGGAUAUGCAGGCAUUGCCAGUGUAUAUGUUUAUUGUUAUCAAUAGAAUAUUUAUUUAAAAUUUCAAAAAGAGAAACCAAAA